rnacentral:tRNA from 2 species
GCCCGUUUAGUUAAGUGGUAUAACAAACGCCUUGUAAGCGUUAUUCGAGGGUUCGAUUCCUUCAACGGGCAUUU